AACCAUUCUCACCUGCGGCUAGACCUGCGGAAGGAUCAUUACAGAGAACUUGCCCUUUGGGGUAGAUCUCCCACCCUUUGUUUAUAAUACCAUGUUGCUUUGGCAGGCCCGUCUUCUUGACCACCGGCUUCGGCUGGUCCGUGCCUGCCAGAGGUAUCCCAAAACUCUGUUAUUUUGUGCUGUCCGAGCUUAAUAAAAUAAUAAAUUGAAAACUUUUAACAACGGAUCUCAGAUCGGAAG
rnacentral:misc_RNA from 1 species